rnacentral:rRNA from 1 species
AUUGAACGCUGGCGGCAUGCCUUACACAUGCAAGUCGAACGGCAGCGCGGGAGCAAUCCUGGCGGCGAGUGGCGAACGGGUGUGUAAUACAUCUGAACGUGCCCAAUCGUGGGGGAUAACGCAGCGAAAGCUGUUCUAAUACCGCAUACGAUCUUCUGUUGAAAGCAGGGGUUCGCAAGACCUUUCGCGUUUUGAUCUUCCGAUGGCAGAUUUGUUAGUUGGUGUGGUAAAGGCUCACCAAGCCUUCGAUCUGUAGCUGGUCUGAGAGGACGACCAGCCACACUGGGACUGAGACACGGCCCAGAGUACUACGGGAGGCAGCAGUGGGGAAUAUUGGACAAUGGGCGAAAGACUGAUCCAGCAAUGCCGCGUGAAGGAUGAAGGAAUUCGGGUUGUAAACUGCUUUUGUAAGGAAAGAAACGGUGUUUUCUAAUAAAGAAGGCUAAUGACGGUAACGUAAGAAUAAGCACCGGCUAACUACGUG